rnacentral:rRNA from 1 species
UGUCGCUGGCUCUCUCGAGCAUGUGCACGUCUUUCUUCUCUCUCGCAAACCCCUACUACACCUGUGCACCCAUUGUAGGCUCUCGAAAGAGGAUCUACGUAUUUCAUACAACACCCACUUUGCAUGUCCAUAGAAUGUAAUCAGUAGGAUUCGUCCUACGAAAUCAUACAACUUUCAGCAACGGAUCUCUUGGCUCUCGCAUCGAUGAAGAACGCAGCGAAUUGCGAUAAGUAAUGUGAAUUGCAGAUUUUCAGUGAAUCAUCGAAUCUUUGAACGCACCUUGCGCUCCUUGGUAUUCCGAGGAGCAUGCCUGUUUGAGUGUCAACGAAUUCUCAACCAUGCCUUUGUCGAAAGGGCAUGGCUUGGACUUUGGGAGCCUUGCUGGCCUUUUCGGUCAGCUCUCCUGAAAUGCAUUAGCGAUGGGUGGCUAGGACGUGCACGGCCUUCGACGUGAUAAUGAUCGUCGUGGCUGGACGCGUCUUUAUCCUCGCUCACAAUCCACACUAGCCUUGGGUUAGCUUUUGGCUAUUAGUUCGGUCGCGAGACUUGACGAACGUCGGAGGAUUUUCUCUGGCUGGUCGAUUUCGAAACUGA